UACGUAGGGUGCGAGCGUUAUCCGGAAUUACUGGGCGUAAAGCGUGCGUAGGCGGUUUUUUAAGUUAGGUGUUAAAUCCCCGGGCUUAACUCGGGGGCUGCAUCUAAUACUGGGAGACUUGAGGAUGGAAGAGGCAAGCGGAAUUUCCGGUGGAGCGGUAAAAUGCGUAGAUAUCGGAAAGAACACCAAUGGCGAAGGCAGCUUGCUGGGCCAUUCCUGACGCUAAGGCACGAAAGCGUGGGGAG
rnacentral:rRNA from 1 species